rnacentral:rRNA from 1 species
CUAAGCCAUGCGAGUCAAGGUGUCUUCGGACGCCGGCAUACGGCUCAGUAACACGUAGGUAACCUACCCUCAGGACUGAGAUAACCCCGGGAAACUGGGGCUAAUAUUAGAUAGAUAAAAGAUACUGGAAUGUUCUUUUAUCCAAAGCUUUUGCGCCUGAGGAUGGGCCUGCGCCCGAUUAGGUUGUUGGUGGGGUAAUGGCCCACCAAGCCUACGAUCGGUACGGGCAGUGGGAGCUGUAGCCCGGAGUUGGGGACUGAGACAAGGCCCCAGGCCCUACGGGGCGCAGCAGGCGCGAAACCUCUGCAAUGCGGGAAACCGUGACAGGGGGAUUCCAAGUGCUCAUGCAUUGCAUGGGCUGUUCUUUGGUCUAAGUAACCAGAGGAGUAAGGGCUGGGCAAGACCGGUGCCAGCCGCCGCGGUAAUACCGGCAGCUCGAGUGGUAGCCGCGAUUAUUGGGCCUAAAACGUUCGUAGCCGGAUAAGUAAGUCUUUGGUUAAAUCCUGCGACUUAACCGUGGGAAAUCUAGAGAUACUGCUUGUCUUGAGACCGGGAGAGGUUGGAGGUACUCCCAGGGUAGGGGUGAAAUCCUGUAAUCCUGGGGGGACCACCUGUGGCGAAGGCGUCCAACUGGAACGGGUCUGACGGUGAGGGACGAAACCUAGGGGAGCGAGCCGGAUUAGAUACCCGGGUAGUCCUAGGCGUAAAUGAUGCGAGUUAAGUGUGGGGGCAUCUACGAGAUGGCCCUGUGCUGUAGGGUAGCCGUUAAACUCGCUGCCUGGGGAGUACGGUCGCAAGGCUGAAACUUAAAGGAAUUGGCGGGGGAGCACCACAAGAGGUGGAGGCUGCGGUUCAAUUGGAUUCAACGCCGGG